CACACGCUUGAUAAGCGUGGGGUCACAAGUUCAAGUCUUGUCAGACCCACCA
rnacentral:tRNA from 1 species